UUCUCUACUGUGUCGUAAUACUUUCUCCAUGAUUCUUCUUUGAACUUUCCCACAACAAGCUAUAUCAAUUCAAAUAUCUUGUUCCAGCAAAUAUAUAAUAUAUUUUAAAAUUCUUGUUAUAGUUUUUGUUAUCUCUGUUCAAUCUAUAUCUCUCAAUUAAAACCCUUUUUCAACUUAGGAACUAGAUUCUUGUUUUCUCAAUUAAAACCCCUUUUUCAAUCUACAUCUCAAUUCUUAAAUUUCGUUCCACGAGAAAACAAUUGAUGGAGAUGAGCUGUAUGAAAAGAGGGUGAAUCUUUCAAAUUGGAAAAAAAAUAUUGAUGCGUGGGAUAUUUGCCCUAGAUCUAUAAAUAUUUGUGUAUAAUUUGGC
rnacentral:lncRNA from 1 species